rnacentral:rRNA from 1 species
UACGAAGGGUGCGAGCGUUAUUCGGAAUAACUGGGCGUAAAGAGCGUGUCGGCGGUUUGGUAAGUCAACUGUAAAAGAACUCGGCUUAACCGGGUAAAUGCGGGUGAAACUGCCAGACUAGAGUGCGGGAGAGAAAGGUAGAAUUCUCGGAGUAGCGGUAAAAUGCGUAGAUCUCGAGAGGAAUACCGGUUGCGAAGGCGGCCUUUUGGCCCGUAACUGACGCUUAAGCGCGAAAGCGUGGGGAGCAAACAGG